GUGGCUCCGGCGCGCUCAGGGCUCCGGUCCCUGGCCCUGUCCUCACCUGUGUCACGUGCGCGGCCCUUCCCUCCCCCACGUCAGCGCCUAGUUUGAGGCAGGGGUACGGGGGGCUGUACUACGGUGCUUUCUGGUGUGAGAGCAUGGAGACAAGAAAACCCCACGAAUAGAAAAGUCCUUCCUUCAGUUAAUUCAAUGACUCAGCAGACCGAUCCGUCCCUCUUCAGAUUCCAGCUUGUUAGAGGCAGGUUUCCAGAGCGAGCUCGUUAGUGACAAGGAGCUGGGCAUUUUCAUGGAUCCUGAAACCAAGCCUACCAUGCAGAAUCACGCUCCCAUCAGCAAAGAAAGAGAUCUUCAGUGUCCCUCUGCAAGACUUCAGC